GACGAACGCCGGCGGCGUGCUUAACACAUGCAAGUCGAACGAUGAAGCUAGAGCUUGCUCUGGUGAAUUAGUGGCGAACGGGUGAGUAACACGUGAGUAACCUGCCCCGAACUCUGGGAUAACUGCUGGAAACGGUAGCUAAUACUGGAUACGACCUACGAAGGCAUCUUCUGUAGGUGGAAAGAAUUUCGGUUCGGGAUGGACUCGCGGCCUAUCAGCUUGUUGGGGAGGUAAUGGCUCACCAAGGCGACGACAGGUAGCCGGCCUGAGAGGGUGACCGGCCACACUGGGACUGAGACACGGCCCAGACUCCUACGGGAGGCAGCAGUGGGGAAUAUUGCACAAUGGGCGCAAGCCUGAUGCAGCAACGCCGCGUGAGGGAUGACGGCCUUCGGGUUGUAAACCUCUUUUAGUAGGGAAGAAGCGAAAGUGACGGUACCUGCAGAAAAAGCACCGGCUAACUACGUGCCAGCCGCCGCCGUAA
rnacentral:rRNA from 1 species